UCUUGUUUUCCCCAAUGGGCUGCCUUACAGGGCCACUGUUUCUGACAAACCCAGGGCUUUCUCCUUCCUUAGUUUCUCUGCUUCUUGGUAGUCCAUUUGUAUGGAAUAUGCUGCUUUUAUUCUCCCACACAUGCAUAUACUUUUUCCACGUAAGAGCUGAGUAUCCUAGAGAGGAAUUGUCCUGCAUAUCUUAGUAGGUUCUGAAAUGCCUCUUAGCUGAGCCUAACUGAUUUCAGGCUCUGAAAUUAUGAUGAAGAUAGUCUAUCAUUCAAUUAUGUCAAGUCAUUAAACCUAGUAUUUAACAUAAUGUAAAAAAUUCUCCCAUUAUCCUAAACCAGCUUUAGUUUCCUAAGAGAGUCCAUCGUUUUGUGGCCUACAUUCCCCUUUGCCUUUAAGCCAUUAUAUUUGUUUUAAGACAUUCUUGAGCCCUGCUUUAGGCAGCUUUGAAUAUGUAGCAUCCUUACUUGAAAGUCAGCUUUAUGUAGAGUUCUCAGAUGUAUAUUUAUUUUUAUAUGUAAUUUAUAAAUUUGUUAGUGACUCAUUUGCUGUGGUACUUAUGUAAUCUGGACUAUUUAUAGAAUUUAUGUUAGACUAGAAGGUAAACCCUCCUGGGCUCAGUGGACAUUUUGGCCAUACUCACUUGCUUUAUCACUGUGAAUUACUUAUUUUUGGGGUCCUCAGUUUCAUAUGAUGCCGAGAGCCCUUUCUAAAUAAAUGGCUGUUCUGUGUGUACAUUGGUAUUCUGAAUACUUGAGCAUGUGUGUACAGGCUAACUGUGCUUACUGCUUUAUAAGAAGGCUUAGAACCAAGGGCCAUUUUAGUACUCCCCACAACCCCCAGGCCACCCUAUUUUGCCACCUCUAAGGUCCUCAUGUGCACAAAUUCUGGUCCUGCUUAUCUCCUUGUGAAAUAACUCUCUUGAGGGGGGGAGGGCUGUGAACAUAGCAUUAAUGCACGUAAAUGUCCCAGAAUAGUCUCUAGCACAUGGCAGAUGUUUAGUGAACAGCAGUGUUAUGCUUUGCUCUUAGAUGCUUGAAUUUGCAUGGUCCAUGUUUGUAGAUUUGUACAUUCUUUAUCAGCUAGAUGUAUUCUGUUUCGUUGCUUCAGUUUCUCUCAAAUUCUGUAGCUCAAGGAUGAUCCUGCCUGGUGAGUAGUCACUGUCCCUACCCGCUCCUCUUUCUUGUUAGUGUGACAUGAAACUACUUCACCAGAAUGAGGAAGUGGUAGUGUUUUCAAUGAAAUGCUAAUGGAAUAUGCUAGUUGGUUCUGAAAACAAGGAUGAGGAAUGAAUCAGAAUGACAUGAUAUGGUGUCAGCCUUAAUACCAAAAGCUUAGGUAACUUGUGGAGAGUUGUUUUUCUUGUGAGGGGCAGUGAAGUAGAAGAGAAAGUAAGAGAUGAGUUUGGGAAGCCAUUUUUACCAUCUAAUCUAAGUCUGGGUACUACCCACAGGCUACUAGAAUGAAGGAGAAACAUUUUAUGUGUAAAUACAUUCAACAGUAUAACAUACAGUUUACCUUCAGGAGCAGAAAUGUUUAUAGGGGAAAGAGCCAUAGGGAAAGCUCGUGUAAGUUACUGUCCUUAUUACUCAUCUUAACUAGUAAUGGGACUUUGGCAACUCAUUUUUCUUUCUAGCUUCAGUUUUUCCUAUUGUUAACGGAGGGAGCUGACGAUAUCUUAGAUCCUUUUCUGAAAUGGAUGGCUUUUGAUCAACAUUGUCCAAGUUAUUUAGAAUGGCUUUCUCAAGGCUUACUAAUCAUUUUCCAAAGCAGUUGCUUACUUAAGUUUGUUUUGUAAUUUUGUGGUAUCUUCUCUUAUGGACCUUAACUUGCUUUGGGUCUUGCUGUAUUCUGUUCUGUACUGUCUCUAGGGUCAAGCUUUUGUCUUUAUGAUAUAUACAUAUAUAUAUCAUACUAAUAUUAAUCCAUCUUUUUAGUACUGUUGCAUUUUUCCAUUUGAAAUAUUUCUUAGAAUUUGUUGAUCUUCAAAUCUAUUUAUUUUUUAUGUAUAAAUUUGAACUUUGUUUAUUUUAUAUUCUUUGUAUAUUUGCAUGUCUUUUCUAAAGAAGAAUUCAUUUGAGGGUACUCCAAAUGUGGGAUGUAGUCUUAUUGCUGAAAGCAUUGGCUUCAUUAAUUCUAGGUAGUAUUUAUUGAAUUACUUAAUGUCAUGCUUUUACUUUAAAAGAAAAAAAUGGUGGUGUUGAGUGUCAAUCCCAGGUCAUUAUGAGUGCUAGGUGAACAUUCCAGCACUGACCUAUAUUCCCAGCCUUUAGUUAGCUUGUUUGAGACAGGACCUUUGUGUGUGUGGUGCAGGCUGGCCAAGAGCUUUCUCUGUAACCGAAGCCAGUCUCAGUUUAUGUUCUCCAUGCUGUAACUUCUUCUCAAGUGCCAAGAUUAUGUGCAUAUGACACCGUAUCUAGUUUACAUGCUUAUUUUUUGAUGAUUAAAAAGAUGGUUGUUUUCUGCCAACCGUAAAAAGUGUAAUGUGGACAAAUUAAAGGUGACACAGUGAUUUCUCAGACUGCAGCGGGACCUAGGAUAUGAUGGCUUCAUUUGAGUAUACUCUUACUAUUUUCUGU
rnacentral:lncRNA from 1 species